GAGUUUGAUCCUGGCUCAGAACGAACGCUGGCGGCAUGCCUAACACAUGCAAGUCGAACGAAGCCUUCGGGCUUAGUGGCGCACGGGUGCGUAACGCGUGGGAAUCUGCCCUUGGGUUCGGAAUAACAGUUAGAAAUGACUGCUAAUACCAGAUGAUGUCUUCGGACCAAAGAUUUAUCGCCCAGGGAUGAGCCCGCGUAGGAUUAGGUAGUUGGUGGGGUAAAGGCCUACCAAGCCGACGAUCCUUAGCUGGUCUGAGAGGAUGAUCAGCCACACUGGGACUGAGACACGGCCCAGACUCCUACGGGAGGCAGCAGUGGGGAAUAUUGGACAAUGGGGGAAACCCUGAUCCAGCAAUGCCGCGUGAGUGAUGAAGGCCUUAGGGUUGUAAAGCUCUUUUACCCGGGAUGAUAAUGACAGUACCGGGAGAAUAAGCUCCGGCUAACUCCGUGCCAGCAGCCGCGGUAAUCCC
rnacentral:rRNA from 1 species